GAAUUAUUCUCCCCCCCUCAAGCUUCUAACUUGAGUUAGAACAUGUACAAAUGUUCAUAAUUCU
rnacentral:tRNA from 1 species